rnacentral:lncRNA from 1 species
AUGUUUACUGUGGAACCAGAGAAUUAUGACAAUCCACUAGCCCCCUGGAGCAUUACAGCCUACCAUUCAGAGCCUGGACAAGAGCUUGGCCUUGCACUUUUACAGAUCGCUGCCUGUAGCGGAGCACAAAGGGAGCGGCGAGACUCCCACGUCUUUCAGCGAGAAGAAAGGAGGCAGCGGAGCAGACUAACGCGGGCUUGCGUCUGGUGGCCUGGCGGUACAAAGGCUGCCUUUAAAAGAGAAGCGCAGCGUUAUUUAAUGAGCUGUGAGAUGAGGAGGCGCUGCUGCUAACGCUCAGAUCCCGGGAUUCAUCGGCUAUUCAUUGUGCUUAAUGUACAUGUUUCUACACCGUGCAUUUAGGAGAUCCCAGAGAAGAAUCCAAAACGGCUG